CUUUUGGCCCACGGACCACAUGUUUGACACCCCAGAAUUAAAGCUUUAAAUCUGUCUGAGUUUUGGGCCCCAGAGAACUGAUCAAUAACUUUUAUUGCUUUGACAUUUGCUUCUUCUGCUCUGAUAAACACACGGUUUGGUUCCAGGUUUUGCAUGUGGGUCCGAUAACUUUAAUAUAAAAUAUAAAUUCUAGUCUGGUUUGUCCACAGAUUCACCAGUUUGAGCUGCAGAAAUAAAAGACAGAUGGUUUUAAAUCUGACUCAAACAAAGGCAGAGACGGUUUUAUUAUAUCUGAGACAAACCUGGUUUUGUGUGAGAGAGGAACAAAGCCAGAAUAAACGCCCGAACCGGUUCUUCUGGUCUCAAACUGUCUGGACUCGUCUCUAUUUAUCCUCCACAUGUCUGGACUCUCUGCUUCCUCCCCCGGUGGCGGGUCGGUGCAGCGGCGCCCCUCUCUGGCCUGCUGCAGUACUGCGGCUUGUUGAUGCCUUCAUGCUCCAGUUGCUGCAGUGAUUGGGGCUGAAAGCUGCAGAGACGUUCCUCUGACACAGUUCCCAUCAGCCGGCGGCUCCAUUAAACUUCUCUGGUGUUCAGCAGCAACUUUACAGCUGUCAUCAAACGUCUCUUUGUGUUUGUAGAGACGAAAAUAUUCUACAGUUAACUCUCUGAACCCGCAGGGACAGCUCUGUUUAACUAACCAAGGUUCAGUUUAACUCACCGAGGUUCAGUUUAACUCACGGUUGGUUCAGUUUAACUCACUGUUGGCUCCGUUUAACUCACUGUUGGCUCCGUUUAACUCACUGUUGGCUCCGUUUAACUCACUGUUGGCUCCGUUUAACUCACUGUUGGCUCCGGUUAACUCACUGUUGGCUCAGGUUAACUCACUGUUGGCUCAGGUUAACUCACUGUUGGCUCAGGUUAACUCACUGUUGGCUCAGUUUAACUCACUGUUGGCUCAGGUUAACUCACUGUUGGCUCAGUUUAACUCACUGUUGGCUCAGGUUAACUCACUGUUGGCUCAGGUUAACUCACUGUUGGCUCAGGUUAACUCACUGUUGGCUCCGUUUAACUCACUGUUGGCUCAGGUUAACUCACUGUUGGCUCCGGUUAACUCACUGUUGGCUCAGGUUAACUCACUGUUGGCUCAGGUUAACUCACUGUUGGCUCAGGUUAACUCACUGUUGGCUCCGUUUAACUCACUGUUGGCUCAGGUUAACUCACUGUUGGCUCCGUUUAACUCACUGUUGGCUCCGUUUAACUCACUGUUGGUUCAGUUUAACUCACUGGGGCUCAGUUUAACUCACUGUUGGCUCAGUUUAACUCACUGUUGGCUCAGUUUAACUCACUGUUGGCUCAGUUUAACUCACUGGGGCUCAGUUUAACUCACUGUUGGCUCAGGUUAACUCACUGUUGGCUCAGGUUAACUCACUGUUGGCUCAGGUUAACUCACUGUUGGCUCAGGUUAACUCACUGUUGGCUCAGGUUAACUCACUGUUGGCUCCGUUUAACUCACUGGGGCUCCGUUUAACUCACUGUUGGUUCAGUUUAACUCACUGGGGCUCAGUUUAACUCACUGUUGGCUCAGGUUAACUCACUGUUGGCUCAGGUUAACUCACUGUUGGCUCAGGUUAACUCACUGUUGGCUCAGGUUAACUCACUGUUGGCUCAGUUUAACUCACUGUUGGCUCAGGUUAACUCACUGUUGGCUCAGGUUAACUCACUGUUGGCUCAGGUUAACUCACUGUUGGCUCAGGUUAACUCACUGGGGCUCCGUUUAACUCACUGUUGGUUCAGUUUAACUCACUGGGGCUCAGUUUAACUCACUGUUGGCUCAGUUUAACUCACUGUUGGUUCAGUUUAACUCACUGUUGGUUCAGUUUAACUCACUGUUGGCUCAGUUUAACUCACUGUUGGUUCAGUUUAACUCACUGUUGGUUCAGUUUAACUCACUGUUGGUUCAGUUUAACUCACUGUUGGUUCAGUUUAACUCACUGGGGCUCAGUUUAACUCACUGUUGGUUCAGUUUAACUCACUGUUGGUUCAGUUUAACUCACUGGGGCUCAGUUUAACUCACUGUUGGCUCAGUUUAACUCACUGUUGGCUCAGUUUUACUCACUGUGUAACUGUGUAAAUUCAGUUUCAACUGAAUGAUUUUACUUUAUGAUCAAAAUGACAAAAGACAGACAAAAAACAGCAAAACAUUGCAAAAAUGAGAAACAACAUGAAACUGAAAAAAAUGAGAAAAAUGUCACGCAGUGACAAAAGUGGACAAUCAACAAAAAUGAGAAACAAAAUCACACAAAACGACAACAUGAGACGAACAACAAAAGUCAGACAAGAAAAGAUAAAAAAAACAACAAAAACAAGACAAAAUAUUACAAAAAUGAGACAAAACGAUAAAAGAACAAUGAACAAUUUAGUGUUAUAUUUUAUG